GCAUAUCAAUAAGCGGAGGAAAAGAAACCAACAGGGAUUGCCCUAGUAACGGCGAGUGAAGCGGCAACAGCUCAAAUUUGAAAUCUGGCUUCGGCCCGAGUUGUAAUUUGCAGAGGAUGUUUCUGGCGCGGUGCCUUCCGAGUUCCCUGGAACGGGACGCCACAGAGGGUGAGAGCCCCGUAUGGUUGGACACCAAGCCUGUGUGAAACUCCUUCGACGAGUCGAGUAGUUUGGGAAUGCUGCUCAAAAUGGGAGGUAAAUCUCUUCUAAAGCUAAAUACCGGCCAGAGACCGAUAGCGCACAAGUAGAGUGAUCGAAAGAUGAAAAGCACCUUGAAAAGGGGGUUAAACAGUACGUGAAAUUGUUGAAAGGGAAGCGCUUGUGACCAGACUUGCGCCGGGCGGUUCAUCCGGGGUUCUCCCCGGUGCACUCCGCCCGGCUCAGGCCAGCAUCGGUUUUCGUUGGGGGAUAAGAACGGCAGGAACGUGGCCCUCCUUCGGGUGGGUGUUAUAGCCUGCCGUACGAUACCCUGACGGGGACCGAGGUUCGCGCUCCGCAAGGAUGCUGGCGUAAUGGUCAUCAGCGACCCGUCUUGAAACACGGACCAAGGAGUCGUCCAUUAGAGCGAGCGUUUGGGUGUCAAACCCGCACGCGUAAUGAAAGUGAAAUUAGGUGAGAGCUUCGGCGCAUCAUCGACCGAUCCUGAUGUUCUCGGAUGGAUUUGAGUAAGAGUUUUAACGGACGGACCCGAAAGACAGUGAACUAUGCUUGUAUAGGGUGAAGCCAGAGGAAACUCUGGUGGAGGCUCGCAGCGGUUCUGACGUGCAAAUCGAUCGUCAAAUAUGAGCAUGGGGGCGAAAGACUAAUCGAACUGUCUAGUAGCUGGUUACCGCCGAAGUUU
rnacentral:rRNA from 1 species